AUUGAACGCUGGCGGCAGGCCUAACACAUGCAAGUCGAGCGGAUGAAGGGAGCUUGCUCCUGGAUUCAGCGGCGGACGGGUGAGUAAUGCCUAGGAAUCUGCCCGGCAGUGGGGGAUAACGUCAGGAACCGGGCGCUAAUACCGCAUACGUCCUGAGGGAGAAAGUGGGGGAUCCUCGGACUUCACGCUUUCAUAUGAGCCUAGGUCGGAUUAGCUAGUUGGUGGGGUAAAGGCCUACCAAGGCGACGAUCAGUAACUGGUCGUAGAGGAUGAUUAGUCACAGUGGAUCUAAGAGCCGCUCCCGCCCCCUACAGUAGGCAGCAGUGGGGAAGAUUGGACUAUGGGCGAAGACCUAAUCCAGCCAUGCAACGUGUGUGAAGAAGUGCUUCGAAUUUUAAAGCUCUUUAGUUUGGGGGGAAGGACAGUCAGCUAAUACCUUGAUGUUUUGGCGUUUCCAACAGAUGAGACACCGGCUAACUUCGUG
rnacentral:rRNA from 1 species